GGCCGGGUCCCUCCGAGGAUAUUCGCGGCGAAUCCCGCCAGGUCCGGAAGGAAGCAACGGUAACCGACGGAUCCUGCGAGAGGGGUUGCCCGGCCACU
rnacentral:SRP_RNA from 1 species